UGGGGAAUCUUGCGCAAUGGGGGCAACCCUGACGCAGCGACGCCGCGUGAGUGAUGAAGGCCUUCGGGUUGUAAAGCUCUGUGGAGGGAGACGAAUAAGCCAUGGCUAAUAUCCAUGGUGAUGAAGGUAUCCCUUUAGCAAGCACCGGCUAACUCUGUGCCAGCAGCCGCGGUAAGACAGAGGGUGCAAACGUUGUUCGGAAUUACUGGGCGUAAAGCGCGUGUAGGCUGCCCUGCAAGUCAGGUGUGAAAGCCCUGGGCUCAACCUAGGAAGUGCACUUGAAACUGCGGGGAUUGAGUGCUGGAGAGGGAAGCGGAAUUCUCGGUGUAGAGGUGAAAUUCGUAGAUAUCGAGAGGAACACCGGUGGCGAAGGCGGCUUCCUGGACAGUAACUGACGCUGAGACGCGAAAGCGUGGGGAGCAAAC
rnacentral:rRNA from 1 species